GAGGAAUUCCUAGUAAACGCAAGUCAUCAGCUUGCAUUGAUUACGUCCCUGCCCUUUGUACACACCGCCCGUCGCUCCUACCGAUUUCGAGUGAUGAGGUGAACCCCUCGGACCGAUCGCAUUGCGUCGGGAAGUUGAGUAAACCUUAUCACUUAGAGGAAGGAGAAGUCGUAACAAGGUAUCUGUAGGUGAACCUGCAGAUGGAUCAUUA
rnacentral:rRNA from 1 species